AGGAUUAACGCUGGCGGCGUGCCUAACACAUGCAAGUCGAACGAGGUAGCAAUACCUAGUGGCAGACGGGUGAGUAACGCGUGGUCAACCUACCGUUGAGUGGGGGAUAACUAGCCGAAAGGUUAGCUAAUACCGCAUACGAGUCUCGGGGGCAUCCCUGGGCCUUAAAAGGAGCAAUCCGCUCGAUGACGGGACCGCGUCCCAUUAGCUAGAUGGUGGGGUAACGGCCUACCAUGGCACCGAUGGGUAGCUGGUUUGAGAGAGCGACCAGCCACACUGGGACUGAGAAACGGCCCAGACUCCUACGGGAGGCAGCAGUGAGGAAUUUUCCGCAAUGGGCGAAAGCCUGACGGAGCGACGCCGCGUGUGGGAAGAAGGCCUUCGGGUCGUAAACCACUGUCGAAGGGGACGAUAAUGACGGUACCCUUGGAGGAAGCCCCGGCUAACUACGUGCCAGCAGCCGC
rnacentral:rRNA from 1 species